UAAUUAUCGCAUAAUUACUGUUGGAUGUCAUGCUAUAAUUUAUACUGCUUGGAGUUUGAUUGACAGGUCAUUCUUGCAGGCAGUGAACAAGCAGAUCUCUGUCACCUUUAAUCUUUGCUCAUUGGCUUUUCUACACAGUGUCCUAAUGUCUUCUAAACACUGUGAAUGCCACUGACACUUUCCAUGUUUAUUGAAUCUGUCAUUUUAAAGCUCUUGUAAGUAACUUUCAUGAAUAACCCCACUUUUAAGUCGACCGUUGUAGCAUCUCUCAGCUUAUUGUUUUGGUAACACUCUCUUAUAGCAUUGUUCUGUGGCAGUCAGUUUCUACACACCUGUUUUGUUUGUCUGUGGCUCAUUAGAUUAGUGUCAUUUCAUACUAAGUAGGACUAAUUAAAGGUCAAUAGAAAGGUUAUACAAGAAAUUAAGAACCUAAAUGUCAGAACUGAAAACCAGGAAAAACAAGGUAAAGUAAAAGUCACGUCUAUAAAGCUCUGUUUUUAUUGUUUACAUCUUGACGGUGACAACGGUGGUUUCAUUUACUAACUUAGAUAAAUCGAGAGUAGCUUUAAUGAGAUGGCUUAUUGCAGGAAAGGUUUGCAUUUAUAUUUGAAUGUAUAUUUCUUUGUCACUGUAAGUGGGCUUUUGUCUUCUUGUGUAUGUGUGAAGAAGUGUUUCAGUAUGCGUUGUCAAGGUAUUUUUGAGUGUAUUUACAACCAUGCACUGGUGUGUGGGUGUGAUCCUGUGGAUUUAUUUGUUGGUUUUGUGUGUAUGUGAGUGUGUCUCUCUGUGUGUUUUGCAGAUGGCUUGAGGAACCCUCUGCCUGUGGCAGUGUCAGAAAGGAUCUUGUCAGGCUGGAAUAAGGGAGGAAGGAAGAAAGGGAGAGAAAACAGAGCGGUGCAGAUGAAGGAAGCUUUGGAGGUUGGACUGCGGUGCCUCUUCCUCAUCUUCUCUUCCUACGUCACUUCUUUCCUCCUUUUUUUUGCACUCUAAAGCAAUCUUCACCUACUUUAGUAAUUGGAAAGAAGGGAAGAUGUGGAACACGAGAUUUCUUGGCUCCGUUAUUUCAGGCCUGUUGAACUUUUUCAUAUCUAUGAAUUGAACAAAAAAAUGUUCACAAUUGCUCAUGUCUUUCCUUGGUCCUCUAUUGGACUAUAAUAAUAUCAGGCUCAGCUUCUUGCCCCUGGCUACAAUUUCUCUUUUAAAAGAACAGAAGCAGAGCACAAAAGUGCUCUCCGAGAGUGUGUUUGUGUGUGUAAAUACUUUAUGUGCAACUUCCAGCCCUGUGAUGGCCUGACCAAUCAGCUCAACUUUUCAACUUUCCCUGAACAAACUUUGUCUAAACCACAGCCGGCCACAGGGAGGGGAGGAGGGGAGGAUGGGGAAUAAGGUGGGAGAACAACAGAGAUGAGAGGAUGAGACAGAAAACUGGCAAAAGAGGCAAGAUAGGGCAACAGUGGAGACGACGCUCGGAGGUACAGAGAAAGGUAAACAGUGGAGGCAGAACAGAGGACGUAAGGUUAGAGGAUGUGGGGAAUCUAGGGAUAUCCGAGGCUAAGGGAGGAAAGACAUUGGCGAAAAGGGCGGCGAGAGGAGACCAUCACGAGUUCAUUAUUCAUUCUCAGCAUGACGCUCAGUCUCUGUUUGCCGUCUGUCUCUUAUCUCCUGGUUUGUUCACCUUUGCAGACAACCCCUACUCUUCUUUUUAGUGUGACAGCUUUUUCUUAGUGUUGCACCAACUCUUAAUAAUUAUUCAUUUUUAGGCGCUGUCUUGGCACCAAUCAAAAAAUUGUUGCGGUAUUAAUACAAGCAAAAAAAACAGUUUUCUCUCUUGCCUGUCCUGUUACUAUUUUAGGGCUGGUAACAGCAAGGGUUCAUCUUAAUACAAGGAGAGACAAUUAGCCACAAGACUAACAGUGUCAGCAGUGCAGCUCUGAUUCGAUUAUUUCUACGUUAUUUACAACAAACUAUCUAUUUGACCAGAAAAACCAGCAUGGUGAGAUUGUAUGUCAGAGGACACUAAAGACAAGAUGGAUCAGGACUUCUUUGUCCAUGCUUUGGUUUUAUGUUAACCAAACUUGCUAAUGUUAGCCUUAGAUGAUUUCGGUGAACAUGAAAGUACUUGAGUUAUUCCAAUAGCAAUACCUCUCUUAGAAAUACUCUUUAGUGCUGCUCAGUAUGUGCUAUCAUUUAAAUGUAGUUCCAGCGUAAGUUCAGUCAGGAAGACAAUAACUGCAGUCACAGCUGCUUAAGUGUCUUUUCCACUCCCACGCCUGCUCCCUUUUCCUGCUGUCAUCAUUCAGGGCAGUCAUUAGUUAAUCAGCCUAUCACAGCUGUCAUUCCUUAUCCAAUAGCAUGGUAGCACACCCUCACAGUCAGCCUAUCCCCGCUCUGCUCUCAUUCUAAAAGUGAAUUUCUUCACCAGCCUAAGGACUCCAUUGGGGGGAUUUUCUUGCUGCCAUGCAGAUCAGACAUCCUACGAUCUCAAAAAUCACCCCACAGAGUCCAAAGGCCAAAGACGUUCUGUCAAGCAUCAUUCUAAUAAUUGUCAAAUAUUUUUUUCUAAUUUUUAAAUGUCUCUCCUGAUUGAACUGGGGUUAGACAAGUCAAUGAACCAAUUUGAUGUAAUUUUCCAGUUUCCCAAUAAACCCCAAUUAAACAGUAUUCUGGUUAAAUAGCAGUAAUCUGGAAAGGGUAAUGAUGAAUAGUGAAUGGGAAGUCAUGUUGAUAAGAAUUUUGGCCCAUCAUGAAGCAAAGGGAUCUUUCACCAUCCAAAUAUUACUGUAAAAUGUGUAUAAAUAUGAUGAUUUUUGUUUUAAGAAAGUGACUUUCUUUAAUGAUUUACAAUAUGUUGAGUAGAUCUGCCUCAUGUUGUUAUAUUAGUGAAGAUAAUUAUACCAGCUAUUAUACUGCUACAGCCUAAUCAAUAUAUUUUUGACAAAAUGAUUAAUUUGAAGGACACUAAGAAUUAAUUUAAUUGGAAUAUAUGAAUUUGGAAUCAAAGUUCUGCAUCAAACAAAGAUGAACGAGUGCUUUGACUAUCAUCCUGAUAAUAAAUGAUGAAUAAAGGAACAGCCUUUUAAAAUGACGGAGCAGUUAUGCCUGCAGUGACAGCGCAGCCUCAUAAUCAAUUUACAAAAUGGUCCGCUGGUUAAGAUAGAUGUCUCAAAUUUGACUAAACAUCCUUGUCUCAUCCUUGAAUUUCCCUCCGAUAUUACUUUCAGAGCCAUUAAACAGCAUGCAUAAAAAUGCCCGGCCGGAGCCAAGCAUAAAUCUAAAUCUCUUUCCUUGACAUCUGUACCUUUGCAUUAAUAUCAUAUUAUGGUAAGUGUCAUCUUUGAUGAUGCAGUGGCUGCCAAGGUCUUCAUAAGAGACUCCACUUGUUUGUUUUUUUCUUUUCUUUUUUUCUUUUUAAUGGUGAAAACUAGAGGCUGCUACAAAUUUACAACAUUUAAUGUAUAAUUUUAAAUCUUUGUGAAGAUAUUUUGUCAAUCUUAAAUUCCUCUCCAGACUUUUGGAUUCAUCCUAACAUUUUCAUUUGAACUUCAGUGUCAUUAUACAAAUCAUAUUUGACUUCUUCUCUCGCUGUUUACUCAUUAAUAUUGAUAGUUUUGUUGUUUUCUUUUCAGAUUGCUGCUUGCUGCUACAUUUGCAUCUAUAUGGGAUUAUGGAUGAGGACUGAGAGUCACUGCUCCUUAGAUCUGGAUGAAAAGCAAACAGUUCUCACUAAAAAAAUAAUACUAUAAAUAUCUGAAUAAGUAUCAAUGUGAGUUGGACUGUACAGACUCGAUGUGUGUUAAACCAAUUAGAUUUAUAGAACGUCAUUUACACUUGUAUAUGUUCUGUCAUUAACCGUUUCUCUUUAUCUCUCUUUCUCUAUCCCUUUGUUUUUUCCAUCUGUUUCCAUCCCUCUUUCUCUCUGUCAUCCUUGUUCUCUUCUUCUGUCAGUCCUGCUGUCAGUGUGGUGCACUUUCUGACAUGCUACGUGUGUCUCUGUGUGUGCGAGAGAGUGUGUGUUAGUGUGUGUGAGAGAGAGACAUCAAAAUAGGUUACAUUUGAAAGAGUCACAUUUUGUAUUCAAACCCUGAGGGGAUGUCUGUCCUUCCACCAAAGGAGAAAUGUGCAAAGCCAUGAUCAGCCCAAAACUGACAAGCCAAAGCUGAAAGUCACAUUAACAAUCAAUAAAGCUUAUGCAGAUUCACCUUACUUGCAAAUAUACACUUUUGAACCAAAACACGCACAAACCCCCCGAGAGAUAUCUGCGCUAAACGGGGAAUAGACACUGUCGCUGAAAACAAAGGUGAUAAAAUGGCCGACAUUACCACCUGUCACUCUCUGUCUCUUCUCCCUUUCACACACAAACACUCUCACAGGUGACCUUAACACAUCCAUUUGUGUUUGCAGAAAAGUGACACAGACUGAGAUCACACUUCGAAAAGAUGCCAGCCAGGCAUCAAGAGCCGCUGGGAUUUACAAAGUCAGAAAGCAGAGCGAGGAAUAAAAAGAAGCUUUCCUGCUUUGAUACGGGUAAGAGUGCCAAUGUCAGGCUCUGAAGGGGGGGUACACCGAAUGGUGACUUCACACUUGGGAAAGGGAAGCCACUUCAUAAUCCAUAAACUACCAUCAGACAGCUGUGUAUGUUAGAAUUCAAUGACCUCCUGACUUUGUUAAUAUGCACUAGCUCAGAUAGUGCAAAAACAACCUUUCAAAACAACACCUAAGAAAGUGACAAACACGUUAAAUUUUGUAAGAAUGUUUCACCAUGUCAAAGAAAAGGCCGAGAAAAAAUAGAAGAAUUUACAUGUUUGAUGAAAGAAACCACUUGACAACAGCUAAUGAUAGCUACCACUCCAUACCUAAAUUCAUCUUAGCUUUGAAGGUGCUGAAUGCUAACAAAGAUUUUAAGGUGUAGAAUGAUACAGAGUCAAAAUCCAAAAAUUACUCUGAUUACAUAUCAUAUGUUUUAACUCACAGGUUUUGUUCCCACCUCAGUCAACGUUAGCUUGGAUGGAGCCCAAUGUUACUCAAGUAUGAUGCUGUACAGCUAAAGAAGACAGUCUUGCUAAAGUCUGAAUGUUAAGUGUUUGAUAACACUUGCAACCAUCUGACAGAAACCUAAAAUACCGUUAGCAAAAAAUUCACGGAACCAAACCAAAUAGAUCAUUCCAGCAUUGAGCUAAUACCUGGUUAAUAAUCAUAUCAAAUCCAGUCCUCUGCCACUGUGUCAGCUGGAAAAGUGUACCACUACUGACCAGGAUGUCCAAAGAAAGUGAGUGUCAUGUGACCAUCAUGGACCCUAUUUUCGGUCAGGUUGUGUGUCCAAACGCGUGCCAAAGAAGCUCAUCAGAUCAGAUAUAGAUUAGAAUAUAUCGAUAUAGAUCUAAAUGUUUGUGCUGACUCAGAUUAAUAGUUAUUGUUGAUUAUUUAUGGCACUGAAAUGUGCCUGACACUGUGGAAACCUGCCGGUGAGGCAUCGGUGACAAAUGCGCACUAUGCCGCCAGUCUACCAAAAUACCACUAGACCAGCUGCGCUCCACCUGCGCUGAAAGCUGACUAGGUUUCAAUCGGCGAGCUUUCAGCGCACUUUACACACCAGUGGCGAGCACGAAAAUAUCACUGCGCCAGCUGAUUCUGUCGACACCUCCCCCUGCCACGCCACCACGCCCAGCUUGGCGGACCUUGGUGCGCCUAAGUCUACGAAAAUACCAAACUGGCUGUACGCCUGGCUCUGCCAGACGAAAAUACCAAUGUGUGGGGUCCAACACCCUCUGCCGCAUUGCUGGCGGGCACGAAAAUAGAGUCCUAUUGAUUGCCCCAUGUUUUGGUGAGUCCAACAACUGGAUUACAAUCACUUUGAAUAUUUUGUGCAUGAGUACGGUAUUUUUCCCACUUUAACUCCUCUUGAGUUUUACACUCACUCUUGGAAGCUGAUAAAAUUGCUCUCUUCUGCUUUUGAACAGUAAGUGACUCAUCCCAGCAGAGCAGAGUAUGGGGUUCCUGGAGGAAGAAAAUAUCCUCCUGCUGUGCCAAGUUUAAGGAUGGGUGCAGCAGGUUGGGUCUUUGUUGGAGUGUAAAUAAGUUCUUUCAGAUGUAAUUCACAGACAGCUCACUGUACCUCCACCUUUCUCUAACUUUUCAGGUUGAAUGCUCCAGGCCUCUGUAAACUUUGCAAUGCAAGAUUAAUUUAGGCCGAACCACAUUCAUGAUUUAUUCAGUUCUACUUUUCUGUUUGUUACACAAUUGUUUAGCUGGUUGAGCAGAAUUCCAGGAAUCCUGGGUGGAAAGUCAAACAAGAAAAAAUAAAUAUUGACAUUUCCAUGAAAUGGCUUUUGUAGAAAUCUAUAUAUGGAGGGUUAGGGUGGCGUAUAUGUGGAGGGUUUGUUCUGGGUUGUCCAUUUUACAGGAAGACAGUAACUAGAUGUUGUAGAAUGGUAUGACGGGCAUAUCUAUCAUGUAUUUACUUUGUAUUACCACACUUACUCAUGAUUAAGAGUCCUGCCUUCAAUGUUUACAAGUGUGUUUUUUGAAAGGGCUGUACUGGAUUUGUUUUUAGCACACAAAAGUUGUUGGUGAUGCUGCUUUACCGUCCGAAAACUGGGUGAGUCAUGGCAUUUUAGGACCAGUGUUUCCUCUUCCUAACUGUGAGGGUCCUAUCUAAACAAUUUAAAGAGUGCAGUUGAAGAACAAAUCAGGGCAUGUCCAAUUUCAGUAUCUUAAAUAAAUGACAAGUAAUCUGGGUCCAAAGUGAGGUGUAGGAGGCAAUGAGACGAGACUCUCUUAAAUCCAUUGGUUAUUGUCAAAUAAUCACAGAUUGUCCAGAUUAGAGCCUGUGAAUGCAUGCAGUACUGCAGUGUUAUGCCAUUAACAAAAACACAAAACAUCAUUAAAUUCCCUUUACCUUGUAUUUAAUGGAAUGUUUUAUAAAUCAAAUUGAGGAAAAAUGCAUUAAAUAUUAUUUUUCUUAAAAUUACCACAAAAAAAAAAAAGUAGGCCCAUCAUUCAUUGCAUUUUUCUGCCCUCGGCUUUCCUUGAACAAUGUCAGCAGCCUCUUAAACAAAAUUUUAAACCACAUUUGAUAAAAGUUAAAGGGCAUUCAUAAUUUACUCUAAAGUAGGAGUGCUUAAGUCGCAUUCUCCAUAUGAAAGCAACGGUUCUGAGGAGUCUGAUCACUCUUUAAGAUCUCAGUCAGACAUUCAAGCGUUGCACUGCUAUACAGCCCUGACUUUGAAGAUGUGAAGAUUUUACUUGAAUAUAUUCUGUCUGUCCCGAUCUCACGCCUCACUGUUGCCUCGUAUGUUUCUACUCAGAAAUAUAGAUUGGCCUGCUCACUGAGGUGUACAAUGCAAGCUGUAGAGGAGGGACUAGUAUGCAUGAGGGAAAAUCUGGAAUGACAAGGGAGUUAAGUUCAUCAUCCAUGGCCAGCCUUCCAACCUUUGGCUGAACUGCAGGGUAUAUCAGUAAGAGCUGGUCAGUCAUGGUCAAAUAAUGUCCAGAAGCCAUGGGCAGUAAUAGUGUAGUAUGUCACAUAUAGGAGCUAAAUGAUAUGUCACAUAUCACUGGAUUUCAAAAGAGAAAAAUGUUGAAAGUCAGCUGUAUUGUAGAAAAGGAAUAAAAGAAGCAACAGUGGAUGACGACACUGCAAUAGAAAAAGCAGUGACGAUAAAACACUUGAUGAAUCUGGAUUUUUAUGGUGACUGCCGUUUGAGUGCUCUACUGAUUGUCAUCUGUCAUUAUGAGAGACAGAUGUUAGCCUUGCUCUUCUGUAGAGCUGACUCUUUUCUGUCAGAUUACUCAAAGGCUUUCCUUCUGGAGCCAUUAGAGCUCUGUUUCUUUUCUGGCUUUUGUGUCCGAGCACUUUUUGGAGAUUGAGAACACAGUUGAGGGUAAAUGGGAACAGACAAUAAUGAAUACGAGGAAGCUCGCCAAGCACGUACAUCUGCCAAGGCUGUCCAAUUCUGUGAGCAUGACAAGGAUACAGUGAAAACAGGCUGGAUUGU